AUCACUAGAUAUGCUCUUAGUACAUGUUGAAAUACUUGUAGAUACAACUCUAUUGGAAAAGGAGGGAAAAAUAGAGAAAAAGUGCACCGCAACAAAUUACAUAUUUAAGGUCGAACCUUUGUUGAAUAGUCACUUGAGUUCAUCACCAACCAGUGUAGCAUCCGGAUGCGUUUCAAUUGAAGGUGUGACACAGAGAGCGUAUUGUAUAAAACUUUAAUAAUAAUUAAGCAAUAAACGAAACCAGCAUAAAUAGAUGAUAAUAACUCAAACCCCUUAGCAUGCAAAUACGAUGGUGAAAUGAAUUUAAAUGAGACCCCGUAGCUCAACAUCAGAAAGACUAGGGAGAUGUGUAGCCAUUUAAAACCUUGAAUGGGGAGGGCAACAAUAGUCGCCGUCACUGAAGCUAAAAAGGCUAUGGUAUUCAGCAUAUAGAAACGGAUGAAGUCAUCUCUGUAACUAGAACCAUUUUCAUAAUUAUCUUUGAUUGGGAUUAGCUUAAAAGGAUUGUCGGAAGGGAGGAGCACAGUGGCAUUAAUGUGGCUGAUGUUAGAAAAAGGGAUAAGAUUGGUUGAGGACAUUGUGGCCUUAAUAAGGGUGCCGUUAGGGAGAAGAUUAUUAUCACUUCCGCCGCCUACACCACCUGGGGGGCUAAGUACAGCCUGGAAGGUAGUCGUUGCGAUUAGCACAGCCACCACUAAUAAAAUAUUACGCAUCUCCAUUGACAAGUUUUUUUGCAUUUGGAAAAUACGCUUCAAAAUUUUUUCUUGGAUUUUCUCUUUCGACUUCAAGAAAUCAGCAAUACUAAAAUCAUGAUCAUGAUGAUGAGCAAGCGAUGACCUUUGUGAAGCUCUUGCACCACGUAAAAUGUUUUCAAUUGUUGUUUUAGCAGCUCCCGGUUGAAGUCCUAUAGCAAUGUCAAGGGCCGUGUCGCCAUUCAAAUUCUUUUCAUUUUUGUUCGCUUGAUAAUUUUUAACUAAUAACUUCACCAUCUGCAAAAGCCACAUGCACAAAUUAAUCAUUUGUUAAUAAUUUUAUAGCCAUCACAUUUUUUGUACCACACUAGAAAAUUAUCUAAUGUGGUACACUCUUUUUAUACAUGAUUGCCACCUCAGAUGAUAUUAAAUAUAUAUAGUUAUUUAUUUAAUGUAUUUGAAAAGCUAAGUGAUGUAUUACUUUGUCCAAACCUCAGUGAACAAUAAUAAGCAUGCAUAACCAAAUACAAAAAGUCUAUUCCUUUUCCAAAAUUAAAAAAAAUUAAAAUCCAUUAAUUAAGAAAUUAGCUUAAAAGAUUUGGAGCCAAAGAGGAUAAACUUUCUAUUGGGGUGAGAAUUCGUUUCAAAGGUCUACGCAUGCGCGCUCACGGAAGACACAAUUCAUCGGAGAGAAAUCGUAUAGGUCCACAUCCACAUCACAUUGUCCCAAUCUACACCAAUUUUAGGAAGCCACUUCAUUUUUUAGGAAGCGAGAGCUGGGGGCAAUUGUAUGGGGCCAAAAUAAGCUUGGUCUUACUUUGGGCCGGACUCACAAAGAUUUUGGACAUGUCGUUUGGCCGAACAGACUCAGUCCAUGAACUUUGGGUUGAGGGAGUUUGGGCUUGACACGGGUGACCACAAACAUGGCUCGUAAAGGGCCAAUUGGAGGGCGGUCACCCUAGAUUAAUUUUGGCGGGAAGAGUUAGAUCUUGCUUGGAUUCCUUCAUAAUAAGCCAAACAAAGAUGCUUCUUGGAUGGGAGAAGAUAUACUUCCAAACAAAGAUAUGGAGAUCAUGGAGAAUUCGCUGGAAGAGAUGAUAAUAGAAAUAUGCACGGCAUAUCCCCACAAAGAAACUAGUGAGAUCCACUAUAAAUAAAAGGCCUAGCAAGGUCUUUGGUAUUCAAUUAAACUCUAACUCACUCUUAAGCUCUCUUCAUUCAUUCUCUUCCAUAUUUCCUACUCUCAUGUCGGAAGGUUUUUCUGGCCAAUACUAGUCGGUGAGCCUUGAUGGUGCUUACUUGUGUUGUGUAGACAACCUAGGAGGAGUGCAACCAAUAGCACGGAGGUUCAAUCCUUGUGAGAUUUACUACCUAAGAGUUGGGUUGCUUUUCUUCUUCCUACUUAUGUUACUUGUAGAUUGUAUCCCUUAUUUUUCUUAUUAAAAAUCUUCUUUUUUUUAAUUAAAUAUAAGAAAGGCUAGGAGAUUAGCUGAAGAAUGAUUAGCAUACCUGAGGCUGGGAAGUGGCUACAGCAGUAUGUAACACUGUGUUGCCUAUCUCAUCUUUGCAUUUUAGCAACUGUUUGUUGCUGGUUCGACCAAGGAAUCCCAAUAAGACUUCUAAAGCGCUUAGUUUCAUUUUCUUCACAGCGAUGUGUAGUGCUGUCUCAUCUCGAACUGUCACGUCUAGAAUUGAUUCUGGACAAACACAUAGUAAUUCAGCUAACAUACCAGCGUUAUCAGUUUCUGCCGCAAAAUGUAAAAGAGUGAAUCUCUCCCUUCCUUUGACCCAUGCGAGCUCCUUGUCAA
rnacentral:lncRNA from 1 species